rnacentral:rRNA from 1 species
UACGUAGGGGGCAAGCGUUGUUCGGAAUUACUGGGCGUAAAGGGCGCGUAGGCGGCACGGCAAGUCGGGAGUGAAAGGCCUGGGCUCAACCGAGGAACUGCUUUCGAGACUGCCGAGCUAGAGUGCGGAAGGGGCAACUGGAAUUCCCAGUGUAGCGGUGAAAUGCGUAGAUAUCAGGAGGAACACCAAUGGCGAAGGCAGCACUCUGGGACGUGACUGACGCUGAGACGCGAAAGCGUGGGGAGCAAACAGG